rnacentral:lncRNA from 1 species
CCCCCACAAUAUCUUCACUGAAGAGAAGGAUUGCAGUUCUGGUUGCAAAAUGCAACCGGCUGUGCGCCUUCAACAACUUCUCAUUUUGUUGAUUAUUUAUUCAUCUAAAGUUGUGAUAUCAUCGCCUAAUGGUACAUAUUCUGAGAAUAUGAAUAAAAUGAGGCAAUAAUCAUUCUGGAAUGGUAGCUUACUACCCACAAAAGCUGGCGAGAGUGGAAUUAGCCAUGUAAGUUGAAGGUUGUCUACACAAUUGUUAGAUUUGAUGCAUUAUAUAUACAUAUAAAAUAGAUUUGGUUAUUUGUAAUGAAAGGGAUGCAUAUUUAUGGAUUUGUAUUGACUUUAAUAGACCACACUUUAUUUUGAUUUACUAACAAGGGAGAAGCUUGUUGCUAAAUUUCUCUGUUUUGAUUGUAUACCUGAGUUUAUUUGUGCAUUCUCUUCCAUUUUUGCGACUCUUCUUAUCUUCCUUUCACAAAGCCAAGGAUCUUCUCUGCACAAACACACUAAAUUAAUUACGGUAGAAGGCUUUUUCUUACAAAGGUAAAAUAGAGAAUUGGCAUAAAAAGAAUAUUGAAUUUUCCCUCCUUCAAUCAUGUUUUUUUGCCUCAUGAAAAUAAUAAAAUACAUUACCCGGUUGAUUUUAUGUUACUCGGUUAAUUUAGAAACCACUUAUGGAGUUGCCUAUAUACACCUUGUAUUGUAAGUAUACGUUGUGAAGUGUGUUAUUAACCGUUGUCUCAUUUUUCCGCAGUAUGCUCUUUUUGAGUCAACCACAAACUCUCAAACCGUUCUUUUCGGUGCUAUGGGAACAUUUGAUGUAUGUGGUUUGUGAAAUUUCAAUACUCAAACAAGCUCAUCACAAAUAUG